CCGCCCAGUCGCCAGGGAGAGUGAAUACAGCUAGGGACGUGAAAGAACGGGGAAGAUAACUGAAGGGUGGUUUGAGAAACCCACCAGGCCAACUGGGAAUUAGAAUUGAUUCAAAACUCUGUUGAUCGCCUGACCUCCAUAAGCUCCUACUCUGCUGCAGUUAGUUGAGUGCUGCCACUUAAAUCCUGCAGUCCCGAGAUCCGGUUAUAACCAAUGCAUUUAGAUUUUUCAUUUCGGUGGCAACAAUCUUCAUCGUAAGUUCUGUCCUACAGAGAAGUGUGGUGAUCAAGCUCUUCGGAGAUACUGGGACUCCUCUCACAAAUGUAUGUCUCACAGUUAUGAUGAAUGGUGUAUCUCCUGGAUCUUCCUCAAUUGAGGAUGUUUUAAAUGAAAAAUACACUUUAUCAUUCAAAUCUUUCAAA
rnacentral:lncRNA from 1 species